AUUAAAUACUGUACUUGAACCAUUAUCAUUGUAGAUCCCACAGACUGGUCUCCUCUCCGCUCCAUCAUGGUGACGCUGCGUGUUUCUGGGCUGAUCCUAAUGAUUGGAGUCACUGUUCUCAUCAUCACAGACAAAGCGAUCAAACAGUCCCUCAGAGACAAACGUAUCCGUUACCACGGUGACGUGACAGCGGACUGUGAAGAUGAAUGAAGACCUGAUUGUUCAUCUGACGUGACACAGAAUGAAGACGCUCACGCAUCAAAGUUCCAACAAGUCAUUUAAUAAACUGAGUGGAUCGGUU